CAAAAAGACCGUCCCACGUUCGGAUCGCAGGCUGCAACCCGCCUGCGUGAAGUUGGAAUUGCUAGUAAUCGCGAAUCAGAAUGUCGCGGUGAAUACGUUCCCGGGCCUUGUACACACCGCCCGUCACACCAUGAGAGUCGAUAACACCCGAAGCCUGUGAGCUAACCGCAAGGGGCAGCAGUCGAAGGUGGGGUUGAUGAUUGGGGUGAAGUCGUAACAAGGUAUC
rnacentral:rRNA from 1 species